rnacentral:ncRNA from 1 species
AUAUUUAAUUUUUAUAUGAAAAUUAUAUAUUUAAUAUUUUAUAUAAUUAUUAAAUUUAAAUGAAUUAUAUUAGUAAAUAAAAUUGUUUUAAUAAUAAAUUAUUUAACAGUACUUAAAGUUUAUAAAGCUAAAUUCGUGCCAGCAGCUGCGGUUAAACGUUAUUUAUAAAUAAUUAUAUUAGAUUAUAAAAUUAUAAUAUUUUAAAUUAUAUAAAUAUAAAAGUGAAAUUUUAAAUUUAAAAUAAUACUUUAUUGUUAUUUAUGAGAAAUAGAAUUAAACUAGGAUUAGAUACCCUAUUAUUCUUUUUAGUUCUGAAGUAGUAAAAUUGAAACUUAAAAAUUUGACAGUAUUUAAUUUUCAAAGGAAUAUGUAAUUUAAUCGUCAAUACACGUUAAAUCUUACUAGUUUUAUUUUUGUAUAUCUCCGUUGUCAGAUUUUAUAAAAAAUAGUAUUAAUUUUCUUUAUAAAAAAUUUUAAAACAUCAGGUCAAGGUCCAAAAUAAACAAGUUAUUAUGUAUUACAAUCAUAUAUAUUGAAAUGGAUUUUUUAUGAAAAAUAAUCUUGAAAUUGAAUUUGCAAGUAAGAUAUAUAUAGAAAAUAUAUCUGAAAUUAAUUAAAUAUGUACAUAUUGCCCGUCACUCUUAUUUAUUAAGAUAAGUCGUAACAUAGUAGAAUCACUGGAAAGUGAUUCU